rnacentral:rRNA from 1 species
GACAGAGGGGGCAAGCGUUGCUCGGAAUCACUGGGCUUAAAGAGUUCGUAGGCGGUCUGGUAGGUGAGGUGUGAAAUCCCCCGGCUCAACCGGGGAACUGCGCUUCAAACCACUAGACUUGAGGGAGACAGAGGUGGGCGGAACAGAUGGUGGAGCGGUGAAAUGCGUUGAUAUCAUCUGGAACGCCGGUGGCGAAAGCGGCCCACUGGGUCUUUUCUGACGCUGAGGAACGAAAGCUAGGGUAGCGAACGGG